CGUCGGCCUGCUGUUCGCGGUUCAUUUCCGUUUCCGACUGUGCAUAGUGUUGUUGUUAUUAGAGUUGAUUGUUUAUCUCCUUCUCUCCCCCCCCCCCUCCCCGCUGUCCUCGUCUUUUUUUCUUCAGUUCAUCUUUUUUCCUUGUGCAACAGCAGACUGUCGCACAAGAGCGACAUCUUUUUCAUCCGUGGUGUCACCUGAACCGUAGAAAGACUCGCUUCUUAGUGUGGCCCGUGAGGCUGUGCGCUUUCCGCUGUCUGCUUUCACAAACACAAAUACGGUGAUGUACCCAGAGUGCAUCGCUCGCUAGCCUUGCGCCUGGUCAAGGAGGAGUUGCUCAGUGAACUACUAGUUUGAGUUCCCUGAGACGACACCACUGACAUCACCUACAGUGCCGAGGUACAGGCUUAAUGGCAGAUAUCAAUAGGAGUUGAUGGUGCUGCCACAGACUUCGGCUCGUGGGGGUGCCGUCGCUACUGACAAAGCUUGUGCUCCCCGUCGUCCCUGUUGAAAUGGCGGCUGGAACUUGGAGAGGGUUCGCUACCACAGCCAGAUCCAGUGUUACAUUCCUGUGGCUUUUUGGUUGUUUCCCAAUUAUUGAAGGGAGUUGCAGGCUUAUCAUGGGCGACACAGUGCUUUGCUCGCACCUUCAUGGAGUACGGCAAUGUUUGGAAGCAAGUCGAGGACAGCCUCUCUCGAUUUCUGUCCCGGGGGCACUAUGGUCUUUCAGCUCACACCUUACAGACAUGUCAGGAAGCAAGGAAAGGUCAUUUUUUCACUCAUCGUUUACAUUUGUCUUAGUCUUUUGAAAAAAAAAACACUAGUCAUUUUAAUGACAUUGUGAUCAAUAAA